CUCUUGAGCUCGUGAUAUGCCCGCCUUGGACUCCCAAAGUGCUGGGAUUACAGGCGUGAGCCACUGCACCCAGCCACUGUCCAGUCUUACUAUAAAUUCACAUAAAUCUUUAUCUUUCAGAAAAUACUUUUCCUAUUAACUGUAUAAAAUUAUUCAAACACAAUAAUUCUAAAUUUGAGAUUUGCUCAUUUAAUUCUGUGGAAUACACAACACUUCUAUUUAAAAUAAUGGACUUGAUGGCUAGAAAAGUAAGUCAGUGUCUAAUAGAGUCCUUGUAUAUUGUCUAGAGCAGGGGUCCCCAAUACCUGGAUCACGGUGGCAUCAAACUCUCAUAGGAUAACCAACCCUAUUGUAAAUUACACAUGCAGAGGAUCUAAGUUGCGCACUCCUUAUGGGAAUCUAAUGCCUGAUAAUGUGAGGUGGAAGAGUUUCAUCCUGAAAUCACCACCUCCACCCACCCCUGCCAUUCGUGGAAAAAUUGUCUUCCUUGGAACCGGUCCUUAAUGUCACAAAACUUGGGAACUGCUGGUCUAGAGGCUUUCUUCCUCUUGUGUUUGACUUGAUUCAUGUUGUAUUAGUUGCGAUGUUGUCCAUUUCAACACACAGAUAUUCAUCCAAAGAAAUAAUUGUCAUUUCGAUACUUUAAGCUGUCAUUUUUUCUUUAAGUGACUGAUUUCUACUAUGCAUCAGGCACUGUUUAGGCCUUGGAACUUCCCAAGUGUGCCAGGGACCUUGUAUUCUAAUAGAGAAGACACAUAAAUAUGGCCAGUAUUGGGUUUUUGGUUUUUCUGGAUUUGAGUUUUUAACUGAAAACUUAAAAUUUUUUUUCCUGUGAAUACUCUUAAAGACAAAUUCAGGAAAAUUACACAGACUGGCUAAAAUUUUAGGUUGAAUAAAGACUGUCUUUAACUGAUUAGAGUUAAUAUUAAGAAGGUGAAAAUAUUGAUAUUAGGUAUGUUACCUAGAUGAGCAAUUUAAGAUGGGAACAUGAACUUGGGAUGUUUGCAGUUUGGAGUUAUCAAUCACUUUCUACCCUGACCAAAACAAAACUGAAUGAAUAUAAAUUCUGACAGGCUGAUCUUCACCAUUACUGUAACCUAUUUGAUCUCAAAAAUUUUUUUAUUAUGUAGCCCGCUGUGUGUGCUUGCGACACAGCCUCUGGAGGCUGAGGCAGGAGGCUCCCUUGAGGCCAGGAGUUCCAGCUGCACUGAGCUGUGAUCAUGCCGGUGAAUAGCCACUGUACUUUAGCCUGGAUAACAUAGUAAGACCUCAUCUCAAAUUUAAAAGAGAAAACAUAUUAUUUGGAAAAUUUAAAAAAUAACAUAUAUAAAAGUAGACUGACAUAAUGUAGUGAACCUUUUUGUACUUAUUUCUGGCUUCAACAAUUAAUCAAUGUGGUUAAUCUUUCUUCAUCCAUAACCUACUCCCGACUUGAUUAUUUUAGUGCUGUGUUGUUGUUUUUCUUUUAGACUGUAUCUUUUUCUGUCGCCCAGCCUCAAGUACGGUGGCACAAUCUUGGCUCACUGAAGUCUUGACCUCCUGGGCUCAAGCAAUCCUCCUGCCUCAGCCUCAUGAGUAGCUGGGAGCACAGGUGCAUGUCACCACACUUGGCUAAUUUUUAAAUUUUUUGUAGAGAUGAGGUUUCCCUAUGUUGCCCAGGUUGUUCUCAAAUUCCUGGGCUCAAGCAGUCCUCCCACUUUAGCCUCCGGAAGUGCUAGGAUUGUGAUAUUGUCCAUUUCAACAUAUAGGUAUUCAUCCAAAAAAAUACCUAAUUGUCAUUUGGGUACUUUAAGCUUUCAUUUUUUUCUUUAAGUGACUGUUUGAUUUUUACUAACCAUGCGUGGCUGAUUUUUAAAAUAUUUAGUAGAGACAGUCUCAGUAUUUUACUCAGACUGGUCUUGAACUCCUGGGCUCAAGCAGUCCUCCCACCUUGGCCUCCCAAAGUGUUGGAAUUAUCACGUCUGAGCCAUCAUACCUGGCCUUAGUUUUUAUUAUUGUUUUCUCUUCUAUGGCUCCUCAAAAGUCAACUUAAUGACAUGAUUGUUUUAGAGUAAGUCCCAAACAUAACAGCAUUUCACCUGUGAAAACUUAUGUAUCUUUAAAGAUAAUGAUUAAACAUACAUGCACUCAAAAUCAUACAUACACACAGGUACUAUUAUCACAGCACCCCUGUGAUAGUUUACUAAUUGGUAACAGUUUACUAUUGCUUGUAAAAUAUCCAGUUAGUUUUCAUAUUUCCCAAUUGUAUCAUAAAUGUCCUUUCAUACCUGGUUUAUUUGAAGUUAUAUCCAAACAGGGUUAUACAUUACAUUGAGUUGGUAUCUUUCUUAAGUCUUUAUAGCAAUAUCUCUUACUUCUUUUUUUUUUCCUUGGCAUUUGUUUGUUGUAGAAACAGAUCAUUUGUCCUGAAGAAUUUUCUCACAUUCUAGACUUGGCAGGUUCAUCUUCUGGUGUCAUCUAACACAUUUCUCUGUCCCCUGUAUUUCCUGUAAAUUGGAAGUUAGAGCUAGGUAUUUGAUGAUUCGUUUUUUUCUUUUUUUGACAAGAAUAUUUUAUAGAUGGCGUUAUAUACAUCCUACACAGUACAUUAUGAUGUUUAUAAUGUCUGGUUGUCUCCUUUCUGUAUUAUAAAUAUUGAUUAGUGUGUAGAGGUGUUUUCAUCGUGAUCCAUUCGUUUAAAAACUUACUUAUCGGUUUCAACAGCCAUUUUUUUUUUUUAUCAUUGCCUGGAUUUGCUGUUUUAUGUGAUACUCUAUAGUUUCUUCUACAUUUAUUGCUAGCAUUCCAUAUAGUUGACUGUAACAACCAUUUGGUUAACCUGAAAUGCAGUUUUUUACAGAAGAGACAUGAUGUAUGUGUAUUUUCUUUCAUUUAUCAGUUUUAAGAAUCUGUUGAUUUCCUAGUUUUUUCCGAAGGGAACUCCUAUAUUUUUUUAAGUACCAUUAUGAGCUCAUGAAUUUUUGACAUUUAACAUUUGAUAUGUUUCACUCCAUUGUAGUCUUCUUUGAUGUUCAGAUUAUCUUGUCUUUAAUCAGUGAGAGCCUCUUCAUGUUGGCUUCUGAUAGUUUUUUUUUUUUUUUUUUUUAAUUUUUUAUCUUUGACAUGCCGGUUUUUGAUAACUGUCUUGCCUCUGAAGACAAGGUAUACCAAGAUAUACCAGGC